GAAGCUUUCAAAUAUGGGGCUGAUCCCCGAACGCCUGCAGUGACUGGGCGGAGGGGCUGGUGGGCGGCCCGCGAGAGGAGCGUUGGAGCUACGCGCAGAGUCAGGUGUACUGCGCGGGCUGGGGCGCUGCCUGGUGGCUGCGGCCGGUACCACCUCUGUUGGCAUGGACGCCGAUCUCGAUACCAUCCUGGAGACAAGACGAGCAGCGAAGGCCUGGAGGUCACUCUCCUGGAGCAGAGAGUAGAGGCAGCCAAGGAAGAAUCUCUGAGCCAGUUAGGACGCUUCUGCAGCCAUCCCAGCGAGAGAUGAUGACGUGGACUCGGGAGAUGGCAGGGCAGAUACAGAAAAGUGGACAGAUUUCAGAGCCCCAUUGUGAGUAGGAUGACUGCCCUGGGCAACUGCCUUCAAAAUACCGGCUUGGUUCCUUUCAGUUGGUGAUCUGCAGUAUUGACCUCCAUGGACCUAGCAGAAGGGAAAGAGAGAACUUGAAUAAGGGUGCCAGAAGGUUUUCUAACUAGGCCUGGAAGUGAUGUACGUUACUGCUGCUCAUAUUCCUUUGGAAGGAACCCAAUCUAACUGCAGGGGAGAAGGGGAAAUGUGGUUUUCCUACACAUUCAGGAAGAAGAAACCCAAGUGAUGAGCAAUAGCCAAUCUCUGUCACAUAGCUAAUAACUAAUUCAUCCAGCAGCUAGCAAAUUCAUGUGUUGUUAUUGGGAGAUAGUGAAAAUUAAAUAAUUCAGAAGAUGAAAUAAAAUGGGAAUUGACUAUAAUCAAAAUAAAUAUCUGAUGAUCUGAUUUGAUAAAAUAGGUUUAACUGCUUUAUUGGAUGAUAUAUAACUUAUCCACAAGAAAUCCUGUAAAAGUUGUAUCUGUGAGCGUUAACCAAAUGUCUCUUUUAAUAGUUGCUAUUUCUAAAAAAACCUUUCAGUUACACUAAGAAAUAAUCAGCAUUACUACCACUACUGUUCAGGCUGUUUGGAGGCGCUUUUCUUUCCAGCUAAAGACAAGUACCAAGAUGAGUAUUUUUUAAAUAGCUGAAAAGAAUUGCUUACAUUUAAAAAGGCUUUUUUUUUUUUUUGCUCUUUUCUUUGCUAUCAUAGAACUCACAAGAGCAUCGCAUUCUUUGAUAGUAGUCCAAAAAGAGCCAGAGACACAGUCACCACCCCACUGCUCAUUCUAAUUUAAUUCACAGUAUCCCAAUACUGGCCAAAAUACUCUGGUUCCAAAGCAACACUUGCUCUUAAUAGAAAUAUGUAUAAGAAAGACAAACAUCAGUCAGGUUUCUAUGUGCUUUAAUUGUUCAAGGAGACUUCCCUGAAACCAGACAUUUGAAUUGUUCUUUUGAUGGGCAACCAGGAGAUUUUUACUCCUUGGAACAAUGCACCAUAAAGUAGGAGAUUAGACUAUAAUGAAGGGAGAGGUGAGAAUGCAGUAUGUUUGCUCAGGAAAAAGGAGAGUAUGCUGAAGUAAGAGGAAAAAGUAGUUAGGGUGUUAGAGUCAAAGAGGUGGAUUCCAGGCUCUGUCAGUUAGAAGUUUGUGACACUAGGCAAGGUCAACAGACCUUUCUGAAUCUGAUGCUUCUUUAAUGCCAGCUUCUCUGUGUGCCAGCCUGGCACAUAAAAGAUACCCAAUAAAUAGUAGUUAUUAUACAAUCAGACAGGAGACACCAGUGUUGAAAAGUAGUGUGAGAGUGAUCUUGCCCCACCUAACAAAUAUGAUCUCUUCCCCUCCUAAAGGAGAGAAUCCUCAUUGGAUUUUAUACAUUUCUGGUAUUUACUUACUAGAUUUUAAACUCUUCUGCAAUUACAGGACCUGUGCUUUACUCAUUUUAUAAACCCCUCAGCCCUAGGGACUGCUCUUGCACCUAAUAGGAAAAGGGAGGACUUGGGACUGUAUCAAUAGUCUUCAGUCUUCUAUAUAGGCACCCCCCACUUUUUGAAAGUUCACAUUUUUUUUUAAGAUUUUAUUUAUUUGAAAGAAGGAGAGAGAGAACACAUGAGUGGGGGGAGGGGCAAUAGGGAG